AACGAACGCUGGCGGCAGGCCUAACACAUGCAAGUCGAGCGCGCCCUUCGGGGUGAGCGGCGGACGGGUUAGUAACGCGUGGGAAUAUGCCCAAAGGUACGGAAUAGCCUCUGGAAACGGAGAGUAAUACCGUAUGUGCCCUUCGGGGGAAAGAUUUAUCGCCUUUGGAUUAGCCCGCGUUAGAUUAGGUAGUUGGUGGGGUAAUGGCCUACCAAGCCUACGAUCUAUAGCUGGUUUUAGAGGAUGAUCAGCAACACUGGGACUGAGACACGGCCCAGACUCCUACGGGAGGCAGCAGUGGGGAAUCUUGGACAAUGGGCGCAAGCCUGAUCCAGCCAUGCCGCGUGAGUGAUGAAGGCCUUAGGGUCGUAAAGCUCUUUCGCCAGGGAUGAUAAUGACAGUACCUGGUAAAGAAACCCCGGCUAACUCCGU
rnacentral:rRNA from 1 species